rnacentral:rRNA from 1 species
GACGAACGCUGGCGGCGUGCCUAAUACAUGCAAGUCGAGCGGACCUCUGCGGAGGUCAGCGGCGGACGGGUGAGUAACACGUGGGCAACCUGCCUGUAAGACUGGGAUAACACCGGGAAACCGGUGCUAAUACCGGAUAAUCCUUUUCCUCACAUGAGGGGAAGCUGAAAGACGGUUGCGGCUGUCACUUACAGAUGGGCCCGCGGCGCAUUAGCUAGUUGGUGGGGUAACGGCCCACCAAGGCGACGAUGCGUAGCCGACCUGGAGAGGUGGAUCGGCCACACUGGGACUGAGACACGGCCCAGACUCCUACGGGAGGCAGCAGUAGGGAAUCUUCCGCAAUGGACGAAAGUCUGACGGAGCAACGCCGCGUGAGCGAAGAAGGCCUUCGGGUCGUAAAGCUCUGUUGUCAGGGAAGAACACGUACCGGAGUAACUGCCGGUACCUUGACGGUACCUGACCAGAAAGCCACGGCUAACUACGUGCCAGCCGCCGCAGUAAAAC